AACGAACGCUGGCGGCAUGCCUAACACAUGCAAGUCGAACGAAGCCUUCGGGCUUAGUGGCGCACGGGUGCGUAACGCGUGGGAACCUGCCCCUUGGUUCGGAAUAACACAGAGAAAUUUGUGCUAAUACCGGAUGACGACGAAAGUCCAUAGAUUUAUCGCCGAGGGAUGGGCCCGCGUAGGAUUAGCUUGUUGGUGAGGUAAUGGCUCACCAAGGCGACGAUCCUUAGCUGGUCUGAGAGGAUGAUCAGCCACACUGGGACUGAGACACGGCCCAGACUCCUACGGGAGGCAGCAGUGGGGAAUAUUGGACAAUGGGCGAAAGCCUGAUCCAGCAAUGCCGCGUGAGUGAUGAAGGCCUUAGGGUUGUAAAGCUCUUUUACCAGGGAUGAUAAUGACAGUACCUGGAGAAUAAGCUCCGGCUAACUCCGUGCCAGCAGCCGCCGUAAAAC
rnacentral:rRNA from 1 species